AAGUUCGAGCGAAUGGAUUAAGAGCUUGCUCUUAUGAAGUUAGCGGCGGACGGGUGAGUAACACGUUGGGUAACCUGCCCAUAAGACUGGGAUAACUCCGGGAAACCGGGGCUAAUACCGGAUAACAUUUUGAACCGCAUGGUUCGAAAUUGAAAGGCGGCUUCGGCUGUCACUUAUGGAUGGACCCGCGUCGCAUUAGCUAGUUGGUGAGGUAACGGCUCACCAAGGCAACGAUGCGUAGCCGACCUGAGAGGGUGAUCGGCCACACUGGGACUGAGACACGGCCCAGACUCCUACGGGAGGCAGCAGUAGGGAAUCUUCCGCAAUGGACGAAAGUCUGACGGAGCAACGCCGCGUGAGUGAUGAAGGCUUUCGGGUCGUAAAACUCUGUUGUUAGGGAAGAACAAGUGCUAGUUGAAUAAGCUGGCACCUUGACGGUACCUAACCAGAAAGCCACGGCUAACUACGUGCCAGCAGCCGCGGUAAUACGUAGGUGGCAAGCGUUAUCCGGAAUUAUUGGGCGUAAAGCGCGCGCAGGUGGUUUCUUAAGUCUGAUGUGAAAGCCCACGGCUCAACCGUGGAGGGUCAUUGGGAAACUGGGGAGACUUGAGUGCAGAAGAGGAAAGUGGAAUUCCAUGUGUAGCGGUGAAAUGCCGUAGAGAUAUGGGAGGAAACACCCAGGUGGGAAGGGCAUCUUUCGGUAUGAAC
rnacentral:rRNA from 1 species